AGGACGAACGCUGGCGGCGUGCCUAACACAUGCAAGUCGAGCGAGGAGAUUCCUUCGGGAUGAUCCUAGCGGCGGACGGGUGAGUAACACGUGGGCAACCUGCCUCAUAGAGAGGAAUAGCCUUCCGAAAGGGAGAUUAAUACCUCAUAACAUUGCAGUUUCGCAUGGAACAGCAAUUAAAGGAGUAAUCCGCUAUGAGAUGGGCCCGCGGCGCAUUAGCUAGUUGGUGAGGUAACGGCUCACCAAGGCGACGAUGCGUAGCCGACCUGAGAGGGUGAUCGGCCACAUUGGGACUGAGACACGGCCCAGACUCCUACGGGAGGCAGCAGUGGGGAAUAUUGCACAAUGGGGGAAACCCUGAUGCCAGCAACGCCGCGUGAGUGAUGACGGCCUUCGGGUUGUAAAGCCCUGUCUUCAGGGACGAUAAUGACGGUACCUGAGGAGGAAGCCACGGCUAACUACGUGCCAGCCGCAGC
rnacentral:rRNA from 1 species